rnacentral:misc_RNA from 1 species
AAGUCGUAACAAGGUUUCCGUAGGUGAACCUGCGGAAGGAUCAUUGAGGGAGAGAGGGGAGAGUGAGUGGGAAUGUGGGGUGAGAUAUCACGUGACAAACUAUUCUUUAGAAUAAUGACUAGCCACCUGGGAUCUCUGGGCUCUU